ACAGAGGGGGCAAGCGUUAUUCGGAAUUAUUGGGCGUAAAGGGCGCGUAGGCGGCCAUUCAAGUGACGGGUGAAAGCCCUCGGCUUAACCGAGGAACUGCCUGUCAGACUGGAUGGCUUGAGACCGGGAGAGGUGAGUGGAAUUCCCAGUGUAGCGGUGAAAUGCGUAGAUAUUGGGAGGAACACCAGUGGCGAAGGCGGCUUUCUGGACAGAUACCGACGCUGAGGCACGAAGGCCAGGGGAGCAAACGGGA
rnacentral:rRNA from 1 species